UGGGGAAUAUUGGACAAUGGGCGAAAGCCUGAUCCAGCCAUGCCGCGUGUGUGAAGAAGGCCUUUUGGUUGUAAAGCACUUUAAGCGAGGGGGAGGCUACUUGGAUUAAUACUCUAGGAUAGUGGACGUUACUCGCAGAAUAAGCACCGGCUAACUCUGUGCCAGCAGCCGCGGUAAUACAGAGGGUGCGAGCGCUAAUCGGAUUUACUGGGCGUAAAGCGUGCGUAGGCGGCUUUUUAAGUCGGAUGUGAAAUCCCUGAGCUUAACUUAGGAAUUGCAGUCGAUACUGGGAAGCUAGAGUAUGGGAGAGGAUGGUAGAAUUCCAGGUGUAGCGGUGAAAGGCGUAGAGAUCUGGAGGAAUACCGAUGGCGAAGGCAGCCAUCUGGCCUAAUACUGACGCUGAGGUACGAAAGCAUGGGGAGCAAACAGGA
rnacentral:rRNA from 1 species